rnacentral:rRNA from 1 species
CCUACGGGAGGCAGCAGUGAGGAAUAUUGGUCAAUGGGCGGGAGCCUGAACCAGCCAAGUCGCGUGAGGGACGACGGUCCUAUGGAUUGUAAACCUCUUUAGGCGGGGAGAAAUGCCGGGCACGUGUGCCCGGCGGGAGAGUACCCGCAGAAUAAGCAUCGGCUAACUCCGUGCCAGCAGCCGCGGUAAUACGGGGGAUGCGAGCGUUAGCCGGAUUUAGUGGGUUUAAGGGGUGCGUAGGCGGAUUUUUAAGUCAGCGGUAAAAUGUCCGGGCUCAACCCGGGCCGGCCGUUGAAACUGGGGAUCUUGAGUGGGCGAGAAGUAUGCGGAAUGCGUGGUGUAGCGGUGAAAUGCAUAGAUAUCACGCAGAACUCCGAUUGCGAAGGCAGCAUACCGGCGCCCAACUGACGCUGAAGCACGAAAGCGUGGGUAUCGAACAGGAUUAGAUACCCCAGUAGUC